rnacentral:rRNA from 1 species
AUUGAACGCUGGCGGCAGGCCUAACACAUGCAAGUCGAGCGGCAGCGGGAAAGUAGCUUGCUACUUUUGCCGGCGAGCGGCGGACGGGUGAGUAAUGCCUGGGAAAUUGCCCAGUCGAGGGGGAUAACAGUUGGAAACGACUGCUAAUACCGCAUACGCCCUACGGGGGAAAGCAGGGGACCUGCGGGCCUUGCGCGAUUGGAUAUGCCAGGGUGGGAUUAGCUAGUUGUGGAGGUAAUGGCUGACCAAGGCGACGAUCCCUAGCUGGUCUGGGAGGAUGAUCAGCCAAACUGGAACUGAGACACGGUCCAGACUCCUACGGGAGGCAGCAGUGGGGAAUAUUGCACAAUGGGGGAAACCCUGAUGCAGCCAUGCCGCGUGUGUGAAGAAGGCCUUCGGGUUGUAAAGCACUUUCAGCGAGGAGGAAAGGUCAGUAGCUAAUAUCUGCUGACUGUGACGUUACUCGCAGAAGAAGCACCGGCUAACUCCGUGCCAGCAGCCGCAGUAAUAC